GCAAAUGUUAGUUCAGACAGAAGAUGUUAAUUACAAAGCCUGAGAAGCCGAAUUCACCCUUAUCUUGUCAAGAUAGAGGGGACAAGGAUCAUCUCAGAGACUGCUGAAUCAUUCCUCAAAGGACUACGCAUGCCCAGGGAGAAAGGUGAAAAGUUCACUGGGAGGAUGACUACUGGCCUUCACCAGAAAUACCCCCGAGGAAGAGGAGAGGUCUUCCUCAGCGUGACCACCAGGACACACAGCUCAUGCGUGACCCAUAUGCUAAUGACUUCCGAGAAAUAAUUUGUAUAGUCACACCUGUCCCAAGGAAUGUGAUGAAUAUUCAUAAUUUAACCCUUAAUAUUGUGUUGUAGAGAGCACCAGGUGUGUGUGUUUGGAGGAGUGAUCCCCACACACCCGGAGCGCCGAAUAAAGCAAAUACCCACUUCUCUGACUCUGUCUCUGAAGUGUCUCCUGGCCCGGUUGUGGCAUGAUUCAAUGGGAUACACAUCAUAAAGUCACCCCA